AUUGAACGCUGGCGGCAGGCCUAACACAUGCAAGUCGAGCGGGGUUUUCGGCCUAGCGGCGGACGGGUGAGUAAUGCGUAGGAAGCUACCCGAUAGAGGGGGAUACCAGUUGGAAACGACUGUUAAUACCGCGUAAUGUCUACGGACCAAAGUGUGGGACCUUCGGGCCACAUGCUAUCGGAUGCGCCUACGUGGGAUUAGCUAGUUGGUGAGGUAAUGGCUCACCAAGGCGACGAUCUCUAGCUGGUUUGAGAGGAUGAUCAGCCACACUGGAACUGAGACACGGUCCAGACUCCUACGGGAGGCAGCAGUGGGGGAAUAUUGGACAAUGGGCGCAAGCCUGAUCCAGCCAUGCCGCGUGCAGGAUGACGGUCCUAUGGAUUGUAAACUGCUUUGUACAGGAAGAAACACUACUUCGUGAAGUA
rnacentral:rRNA from 1 species